rnacentral:misc_RNA from 1 species
GAUGAAGAACGUAGCGAAAUGCGAUAAGUAAUGUGAAUUGCAGAAUUCAGUGAAUCAUCGAAUCUUUGAACGCACAUUGCGCCCCUUGGUAUUCCGAGGGGCAUGCUUGUUCGAGCGUCAUUAUAACCCCUCAAGCUCAGCUUGGUGUUGGGGCCUGCUGCACUGGCAGCCCUUAAAAUCAGUGGCGGCGCCAUCUGGCUCUAAGCGUAGUAAUUCUUCUCGCUAUGGAGUCCUGGUGGAUGCUUGCCAUCAACCCCCAAUUUUUCUAUGGUUGACCUCGGAUCAGGUAGGGAUACCCGCUGAACUUAAGCAUAUCAAUAAGCGGAGGA